CCUAGUUGGCCGUGUAAUUACCACCUCCCCUAAUCCCAUAUGGAGUAAUAGUUGACUUCGAGUACUGAUAUCCCCCAUUUAGUUCACAAAUAUCUCCCCUUUAUAGUCUGCAUUUAAUAUCCCAUGAAAUGCACCCUCUGCUACUCUAUUUUCUUGGAAAACUUUCUUUCUCGUGACAUCAUCAUGUAUUGGAUCAAUUCUAGAAUUUGACUCUAUUCCCCUUUCUACAUUUACAGCUCCCAUUUAUUGUCCCAGAUUUUCCCUCAUCUAUACUAUCAGCUCUUUUUGCAUUUUUUCUUCUUCUAAGACUAUCCGCUCGAAGCCAUGAGCCAUACUGGGAUUUUCCACCAUUAUUCAGAGAUGUGUUAGCGAGAGUAUUAUUGCAACCUCUUACACCAUGUGCUAUAAAUCCACAUUUAAAGUAAGUUCUAGAGAGCUUCUCAUAACGCAAUGGAACCCAAAUUUGAUAUCUCAUUAGGUAGGCCUGUGUAGGAAACCGAGCAACACGGUCAGUUUGUGAAACCCAACCCAAAAACGGUAUCAGGCAGUGUUCACGUUUGACCCAUACAACUCGCUAAAUGUGGGCAAACCGAAGAUGAAAACCCUAGCCUCUGCUAUUUCUGGCACCGAAGUAGUAAUGACUUUGAAAAGUCUGUUUUUAUUAUUAUGCUCUGCUUUGUUCCUCAUAUUGUCUCUACUCGCAAGUCAAUUUGAGUCAACUAUACAAAAAGCUUUCUGAAGAGAUCCUGGACACCCUUAGUGGCCCUACGGAUCCUUCCAUGACGUCCAAGACGCUAUUCGAUCUGAUGUCUACCUUAUGCUCCAUUCUCACGCCGAGGGAUUUUGUGGGCAUCAAAUGGGUUCAAUUUUUCUAUGGAUUUUUCGAAGCACAAUGGAGAGGAUGGAGAAGAAGAGUUGAAUGUAGUCAUAGAGGUUGAUCGUCCCACAAAUGUUCAUGUUGGAUCUGAUAUUCAAGAAAAGGCUAGUUCUUUAAAAGCUAGGACUCUGAACUUUGAAUCUUCUUCAAAAAUUGUUGGUUUAUCAAAUGAAAUUGAAGCAUGAAGCACUGAAGGCUCCAAAAAAUGUCAUUGGGAAGAAGAAGAAGAAGGAAACAGGUUGAAGCACUCGAGUUGGGUCGGGUUGGUUUGUGUGAUCAUGGGUGCCGGGUCACUUCAGGUCGGGCCCAAGCACAAAUCAAGUUGGUCGGGUUGCAAGCCUACGCAUUAGGUUUACAGUCUUUUCUCUUACUAUCAUUUUCUUCAAGUUGAUCUCUACUUUCACUCUGAAGUAGUUCCUCCAACGAGUUCCACCCUCUCUAACAUCUACAUCAUGCACAUCACCAAUUGUUUCACCAAUUUGUAAUAUUAUUUCUCAGCAUGCAUACUAAUGGAAGAUUGUUCAAUUGAACCCAA